UAGAGUUUGAUCAUGGCUCAGAUUGAACGCUGGCGGCAGGCCUAACACAUGCAAGUCGAGCGGAUGAGAGGAGCUUGCUCCUGGAUUCAGCGGCGGACGGGUGAGUAAUGCCUAGGAAUCUGCCUGGUAGUGGGGGACAACGUUUCGAAAGGAACGCUAAUACCGCAUACGUCCUACGGGAGAAAGCAGGGGACCUUCGGGCCUUGCGCUAUCAGAUGAGCCUAGGUCGGAUUAGCUAGUUGGUGAGGUAAUGGCUCACCAAGGCGACGAUCCGUAACUGGUCUGAGAGGAUGAUCAGUCACACUGGAACUGAGACACGGUCCAGACUCCUACGGGAGGCAGCAGUGGGGAAUAUUGGACAAUGGGCGAAAGCCUGAUCCAGCCAUGCCGCGUGUGUGAAGAAGGUCUUCGGAUUGUAAAGCACUUUAAGUUGGGAGGAAGGGCAGUAAAUUAAUACUUUGCUGUUUUGACGUUACCGACAGAAUAAGCACCGGCUAAC
rnacentral:rRNA from 1 species